GUCACUAAAGUAGAAAGCUAGAAUUGUGACUGGUACGUUGUUGACUGACUCUGAAUCCUAUACUCCAGCAGCCUGGCAGGAGCCAUACUUCUCUAAGACCAGUUCCAGUCAACGAAGUCGGGACAUUAGGAGCACUCAUUGGUGUAUUGGCAGCUGCUCUAGUGGUGGUUGUCACUGGAUGGAUUGUGUCGUGUGUUUACUUUCAGAGAAAAAUAAACAAGCAAGGCAGUGACCACACCCACAGUACAUCUCCCAACAAUCCUGACCUUCAACACAAUCCAGCAUACACCCACACAACAGCUGUCUCUACGAGUGACCCCACCCUCCAACGUAAUCCAGUAUAUGAUUGGUCGACCACUGUCCCACACACACGGAACCAUCCUACGAGGUGGUCAGUGGUGGUGAGGGGGUGGGGCAUAGCUAUGAUGUCAUCAGUCCAAGAGGUGCUUGUAAUACAAGCAAUGAAAGAGGAUCACAUGAUUAAGCUUCAGAGGAAAACAAUGUAUUGGACCACACUAGCUAAAGGGUGAUACACAA